CCCCCACUGUUGCAAGGAAUGAACUUCCAAAUAUUAACACCCUGGGAGAGUUAUUUUCCAUCUCAAGAAUGUGAAAAUCAACAGGAACAAGAUACCCUCCUACUUGCACCAUCAAAUCCGUUACGAAACCAUAUGGAAUCAUGCUUGAAUUGUCUCCAAACUUAACAGAACCGUGAGGAAGUUUGAUACAACACAUACCCAACUAGGUUGCAAUUUCUUUAGACAUCACAUUCAUAUUUGCUCCUGUGUCACAUAGAGAGUCAGAAAAUUCCGCACCUUCAAUUAUG
rnacentral:lncRNA from 1 species